rnacentral:rRNA from 1 species
CGCGAAAGGGGCUUCGGCCCUGAGUAGAGUGGCAAACGGGUGAGUAACACGUGGGUGACCUGCCUUCGAGUGGGGGAUAACGUCCCGAAAGGGACGCUAAUACCGCAUGACAUCCUGCCUUUGGAAAGGCGGAGAUCAAAGCCGGGGAUCGUAAGACCUGGCGCUUGAAGAGGGGCCCGCGGCUGAUUAGCUAGUUGGUGGGGUAAUGGCCCACCAAGGCAACGAUCAGUAUCCGGCCUGAGAGGGCGGACGGACACACUGGGACUGAGACACGGCCCAGACUCCUACGGGAGGCAGCAGUGGGGAAUUGUUCGCAAUGGGCGCAAGCCUGACGACGCAACGCCGCGUGGAGGAUGAAGAUCUUCGGGUCGUAAACUCCUGUCGAGCGGGAAGAAUUGUUUCGGAGCUAACACCUUCGAAGUUUGACGGUACCGCUAAAGGAAGCCCCGGCUAACUCCGUGCCAGCAGCCGCGGUAAUACGGGGGGGGCAAGCGUUG